GGUGUUAGUAGGUCACUUGGGACUUGUUGGAGUCACUAAGUUGUUUGAAAAUAAGCCAUAAUUGGUGGAAUUCAAAUUGGGUCUCUAAAGUGAGGUUUUGAUAAAUUUUAGUUUCAAAUCUUGUGUUCAAUGAGUUUAAAAUGUGUUUAGGUUGGUUUAGAAACAUUUAUUUAGGUAUAUUUAAGUAUAGAAUACAAUUUAGGGGUGUUAAACAUUGAAAAAUAUGCAUAGGAUAGGUCAUGAGGGGUUGAGGGGUGCAAAUUCUGCAGAUUUAGAAUUAUGCAGUCUUGCUAAGUGAACUCCCCGCUGAGCGAGAGUUGAGUGAGCAUAACCCACUAUUUCUAUUUUCGCAUAGCGAGCUGGUGUCCGCUGAGUGAGCAGAACAGUUCUAGCUGAGCAAACUCCCCGUUGAG
rnacentral:lncRNA from 1 species